AAGGGCCCGGGCGGGGCUCUCCCAUCAGCUCCAUGAGGCCCAGGGGUGCCUGGCUCAGGGCCUGCAGGCCCAGGGGUGGGGGCAGGGUCCCUCCAGGAAACACAGCCCCGCCACCCCACCUCUGGAGCUGAUAGGGAAGGACUUCCCUGGAGAAAGAAUGAACUGUACGCACCCCAAGUGGGGGAAAUGGGAGGGCUGAGGCGUACUGGGGGCCUCCGGGCCUGUGUGAUGCCCACUUCUCUCCUGGCAGGCCACAGCCCCUGAGACUCCGGGAGGACUGAAUGAUGCUGCCCCCAAGGAGACGGACAUCCUGUCUCAGGGGGAGAAAGACCGGGACGGGGAGGGGAGGGUCCCAGGCCAGGGAGCAGCCAGCCCCACUCCUGCUGGGAAGGAAGUGGCUGAGGAGAAGGAGGUGGCAGGGAGCCCAGGCUGGGAGGGAGAUAAGAAGGUCCCAAAGGAGCUGGCUCUACCUCCUUCUGGGGCCUCUGGGGUGCAGAGCCAGGAGGAAAGGCCCGGCGAGUGGGCCCCCAAGCUCCUGAGGAAGCUCUGGCUGGGCUGGUUCCCGGUCUCUGACAGCCCUGACACUCAG